AUUGAACGCUGGCGGCAGGCUUAACACAUGCAAGUCGAACGGUAACAGGGUGCUUGCACCGCCGACGAGUGGCGAACGGGUGAGUAAUGCGUCGGAACGUGCCGAGUAGUGGGGGAUAACGCAGCGAAAGUUGUGCUAAUACCGCAUACGUACUGAGGUAGAAAGUGGGGGACCUUCGGGCCUCACGCUAUUCGAGCGGCCGACGUCUGAUUAGCUAGUAGGUGAGGUAAAGGCUCACCUAGGCGACGAUCAGUAGCGGGUCUGAGAGGAUGAUCCGCCGCACUGGGACUGAGACACGGCCCAGACUCCGACGGGAGGCAGCAGUGGGGAAUUUUGGACAAUGGGCGAAAGCCUGAUCCAGCCAUGCCGCGUGUCUGAAGAAGGCCUUCGGGUUGUAAAGGACUUUUGUCGGGGAGGAAAUCCCCAGCGUUAAUACCGCUGGGGGAUGACAGUACCUGAAGAAUAAGCACCGGCUAACUACGUGCCAGCCGCCGCAGUAA
rnacentral:rRNA from 1 species